rnacentral:rRNA from 1 species
GAUGAACGCUGGCGGCGUGCCUAAUACAUGCAAGUCGAGCGAACAGAUGAGGAGCUUGCUCCUCUGACGUUAGCGGCGGACGGGUGAGUAACACGUGGAUAACCUACCUAUAAGACUGGGAUAACUUCGGGAAACCGGAGCUAAUACCGGAUAAUAUAUUGAACCGCAUGGUUCAAUAGUGAAAGACGGUUUUGCUGUCACUUAUAGAUGGAUCCGCGCCGCAUUAGCUAGUUGGUAAGGUAACGGCUUACCAAGGCAACGACGCGUAGCCGACCUGAGCGGGAGAUCGGGCAGCCGGGAAGUGAGACUGGGUCCAGACUCCUACGGGAGGCAGCAGUAGGGAAUCUUCCGCGAUGGGCGAAUGCCUGACGGAGCAACGCCGCGUGAGUGAUGAAGGUCCUCGGAUCGUAAAACUCUGUUAUUAGUGAAGAACAAAUGUGUAAGUAACUAUGCACGUCUUGACGGUACCUAGUCAGAAAGCCACGGCUAACUACGUG